rnacentral:rRNA from 1 species
AACGAACGCUGGCGGCAGGCUUAACACAUGCAAGUCGAACGCGUGUAGCAAUACACGAGUGGCGCACGGGUGAGUAACGCGUGGAUAUCUGCCCUUUGGUUCGGAAUAACCCCGGGAAACUGGGGCUAAUACCGGAUGGUUCCUUCGGGAUAAAGAUUUAUCGCCAAAAGAUGAGUCCGCGUACGAUUAGCUAGUUGGUGAGGUAAUGGCGCACCAAGGCGACGAUCGUUAGCUGGUCUGAGAGGACGAUCAGCCACACUGGGACUGAGACACGGCCCAGACUCCUACGGGAGGCAGCAGUGGGGAAGAUUGGACAAUGGGGGCAACCCUGAUCCAGCCAUGCCGCGUGAGUGAUGAAGGCCUUCGGGUUGUAAAGCUCUUUUGGCGGGGACGAUGAUGACGGUACCCGCAGAAUAAGCCCCGGCUAACUUCGUGCCAGCCGCCGCGGUAAUAC